UAAACUAGGGGCAUGUUCAAGUAAUGAGAUAACAUGAGAAUUUCUCAAAACUUCUCAUACUUUUAUUUCCAAAUAUCACUCAAACAUAUGCGUAAAAAAGAGCAUUUCCAACCUGAACCGAAAACCCGACCCAAUCUUGAAAUAGCUAUAUAUAGAAUAA